rnacentral:lncRNA from 1 species
AAACUCUGCAGGGUGAUCCGCUCCACUCGCACUGUUGAGUUUUGAGAGAUUUAUUUUAAACACAGGCAUUUAUGUGGGAGAAAGGUUCACCUUCAUGUCUUCUGUUUUCUUGUCAGUGAAGAUGCAAUUAUGAAGGCGGAAAAGGCACCCGAGUGAGGUCUUUGCAGAUCCUGGCAGGCUUCGUUCCUUUGAUCCUGGCAGAUGUACUUCCAUUGUCUCAGCCAGGAAGCAGACCCUGGAGCAGAUGUGGUCUCAUAGCUCAGCCACCAUCUUCUUGACACAACAGCCAUUGCUAACCUUGGGUGGAAAUUGCUACAGCAGAAGAGAAGAAAAGGUCAGGAGCAGGUGUGACACUGGUCGCCUUUACCUCUGGUGCUGUGAGAGGCUUGAGUGACAGUGACUACCAGCUUCUUUUGUUACACAUUAGGCUGUCAUUUCCCUUAAUAAUCUCCACCGGCUAGACAGCCUGCUGUUUGGCACAGGCUUAAGUGUAGGUUUGCUGAAUUUUCCAGUUUCAGAGAUGAGGACUAAUUCUUCCUGGGCUCUUCUUGUUGUCACAACACCAGUGGCAAAUCCUUGCUGACUGAUUUGAGGAGCUGUUGGGGUUGAUGGUGACAAUUACAGAUCCCGUGCUUACAUUAGGAUGCCCUCUGAUCCACCCGAGUGCUUCA